rnacentral:lncRNA from 1 species
AAAAUGUCAUUUUAUAACCCCAAAAAAUGGCCUAAAAUAAGCUUCCAGCAUCAGGAAAGAUACGCGAGGGAAUAAUUACAUUAAACAUCAGACUCAAUUCUAAGCACAACUUUUCAGCUGAGCAUUGUCCACACUUUUGCGUAUCAAUUCAAGUAGCUCUUCCUCCAUUUCCUCCUUUUCACGACUCAUUUCUUUGACUUCUUCCUCCAUUGCCUCCCUGCAAGCAGACUAAUUACAUUACAACUUUUACAUUGUAAUAAACCUCGUCAUUUUCUUCUCUUCCUGACAAGGAGUGAAAAAGUUGCUGGCACAAAAUUAUUUAAGAGUUCGCCAAGAAAACAGAAUAAGAUGCAUAAACUCAGUAACCCACUCACAAGUUCUACUGGAACCCUUGUAUACAACUAAUUGAUAUAAUGAAGGAAGUCAACUUGACUGGAAGAUAAGUGAAUAGAAGGAAGUCUGGAGAAGAAGGUUAAUACCACUUUGUCCCCCCAAACUUUGGACGAUUACCCACUUCAGUCCCUAAACUUCAAAAUGGGACACUUAAGUCCCUAAACUUAUAAAUAACUCCCACUUAAGGAAAAUUGUUAACAAAUCUUGAAUAUCGUUGGUGGUCGAAGUGUUCCAUUUUAUAAGAGUUUAGGGAUUUAAGUGUCCCAUUUUAUAAGUUUAGGAACUUAAGUGGGAGGUAUUUAUAAGUUCAGGGACUUAAGUGUCUCAUUUUGAAGUUUAGGGACUGAAGUGGGUAAUCGUCUAAAGUUUGGAGGGACAAAGUGGAAUUAACCCGGAGAAGAACUAGGAAGGAGAAACAAUAUUUUAGGCAGGAACACUUCUUAUAAGAUCGAUCCCUUCACAACUACUGGUGUGUGUGUACUUGUGUGUGGGAGAGAGAAGAGAGGGAGAACUGAGAAGAAAGCAAGAAACGCCUACACAUUUAAUAAGAGGCCAAUAUAAAAGACACCUACAUAGACCCAAAUUUGGGGCAAUCGCUACUAAACAGUUUAAGUCCUUUUCAACAGAUUGUAAUUGAGUUCAAAUUAAAUAACAUGCAUUAUAUUGAAACAAAAAUGAUAGUUGAAUACGUUCAUGUAGACUCAUCCAUUUCAAUAAUGCAUGAUAUUAGAUGAGACUUAUAUCAUGGUUCAAAGGAAUGGUUGCGGUCGUGGUCAGAGCAACCACUAUUCUGUGCCAGUCACGGCAAAAUCGUUACAAUUCAGAGAUGUAUAGUUGCUAUAUUAAGGGAGGUAGGGUUGGAUUGGGUGAAAUUGGACAAGGAGUAUAAGUGAGAGGUCUUAGAUUCAAGAUCCCCUACUUACACUAAAAAAAUAUAAAAAAUUAAAGAAUAGUUGCUAUAUAAAUUAUUCAUUAAAAAAUACAUAAUUUGUCUUAAAAUUCAUUCUCUAUCCUUGUUAUAGAAACAACAUUAUGAACUCACAACAAAAUACAUUUGUAUCCCAUCAUGGAACAGUUCUAUUUUUUAAAAAUUUGAGAAAAUAAAGAUUUUGUUUGUAUUUUUUUUUAUUUUUCACCCUUAUUGUGGACUGUAAGAUUAUAAAUUGAUAUUUCACUAACCAUUACGUAUUUCAAACUACAAUAAACAUUGAUUUCAAUAUACUAAAUAUUCUUAUGCAUUUCUAUUCAAAAUUGUAAGAAAGAGCUCAUUGGUUAGAUUUUAAAACAUUUAAAAUUCUAAAAUAACAUUCUAAGAAGUUUUGGUUUUCAAAGUUGGGUUAAAAAAUAAGAAGCAUGAAAUUACCUAUGAAGUUUUUAAAACUUCCAAGUAGCUUAGGGAAUAAUUUAAAUUUUAGAUUAGAGAUACUAAAAAAAAGUCUUACAAAGAAUAAUGGGGAAAAUCUAAUAUCCAUGAUAACUAUCAGCAUUUAGAGAUUAUACUAGGCGGGGAUCACCGCGCAUUCUUACCUAUGAAGUUUUUAAAACUUCCAAGUAGCUUAGGGAAUCAUUAAAAUUUUAGAUUAGAGAUACUAAAAAAAAGUCUUACAAAGAAUAAUGGGGAAAAUCUAAUAUCCAUGAUAACUAUAAGCAUUUAGAGAUUAUACUAGGAGGGGAUCACCGUGCGAAUGCGCGGUGUGAAAUUAAUAGGUAGUAUGCCCACCAUUGUAAUAGUUUUUUAAAAAACAAAAUAGAUAAUCCAUAAUUAGGAGUAAUGACCAAAAUAAGUUAUAAAACUAUAUUGGCCAAAUAUGUUGAGUCAAGGCCAAGUAUAUUAAUAAAGAAUACAGUUAAAAAAAAAACUUCUAUAAAUUAUUACAAGUUGUAUGCAUAAUUGGAUACUAAGUGUUUACUAACUAUGGUUCAAGCUUGCAUUUCUCAAUCUCUUUACAAUGCCGAAUAUCGUUCAAGAGUUUAUUUGUCUUCCUCUUCCUAGAGCUUAUUCGAAUAAUCUCCUACUGCCAUGUUUUUAUCCUGCACAAGAGGUAAUGCAAUUUUAUGUUUAAGCCAUAUGAAUUUUAUGUAUCAUUAAGGAUAUAAUUUGGACAGAGUAAUAAAUGAACUACUCUGAUGGAACUAAAAGGAAUAUAAUAUUAGAGUAUAAAUUGAGUUAGAAUUGGCCCAUCAGGAAGCAAAUAAAACUACUUUCUCCGCUAUAAAAUAUGCAAUUUGCUGGUAGCUAUGCUUGAUAUGCACAUGCAAUGGUGAUAACGUUCUUUAUUGCCAUGGCCUUGUAUGUGUCAAAAUCAACUGUAAAUUAAGUUCUUGUAUGUUGAAACCAAAACUUUACGCAUUAGACAAAAUUAAGAAUGACACCAUGUAAAAAUAGGAACGAAAUAUGUGAUAAGUUUUGAAGCCAAAAAUAUUGAAAUUUGAGAAAUAAAAAUGAAAGAACUAACAUUUCCAUGGGAAACAAAUACGAAAAAAAAAUUAUUGAUUAAGUAAAGAGGCCAAUCGAUCUCACAAUUAUUGAUCACUAUACCAGGGAAAGAUAAAUGAUAGCAAAUAGUAAAAUAGUUCAUAUCCACAUUGUUUGUGAUUGGAAAACCAUACCUUGCUUCUUGAUAACAAUUCAUGAGAAAAGUCUGGUAGUAGCCAGCCAACUCAAGUAGUUCAUCAACUUUCUCACUUUUCUUCCCAAAAUUUCAAAAGCAAAUUCAGUAAGUACUAUAUGAUUGAUAGCAACAAGUGAUUAUUCAAAAAACAAUGAGUGAAGGAAAUGCAAAGGGAUUUAGAAAUUUGAGGGAUGAAAGCAAAUGAUCCUAAGAGGGUUCAGCACAUGCAGUCCUCAACCAAAAGAUGUUGAAUUUAGGCAAAGACUUGCUAUUCAUCAAGAAUGACAGUAAUACCUAUACAUUAUUUGGAAACAAGCACAAUCAAGUCAUCCAUGUGGUUUCCAUCAUUUAAUAGAAAGGCAAUGAGCAGACAGGAUGACUUGGAAUUGAAGAAAAAAUCAAGUUAACAGGAAUACCUAAAACCAAGAAAAAAUGUAAACCACUGACCAACUUGAUAUGAACUAUUCAAACUAUCAAUGAAAUAGCAAGUUGAAGUUCCCAUGGAUUACAUCAUCUUCAUUAAGAAAAGGCAUAAGAUCAUUCCAUGCAAUCUCGGACCAAUCAGUAAAGUCAAGAUCAACUGAAAGCUUUUAAUGCAUAACUUAUUAAUACAAUUCCAUAAGGCUUCCACAAAUAUGCCUUUUUAAAAUAGAAACAGGGCUGCAAUGUAACAAUUCUUAGAUCUCGAUUAAAUCGGGAAAUUUGUAUUAUAGGUCCAAUUUAAAACAAAAGCAAAAAAUUUUUUGGUCGAAUAAAUUGAGGAAUUUGUAUCAGUUAAGUUUAUUUAGAAAAAGUAACAAGCAACUGAGGAUAGCAUAAGAUGCAUAAGGUAAAUAAGUACCUAUUUAACUCAAAUUCUGAACUACAUCAAUUCAAAAGAAAACCAUGACUUGCGUUCCGAAUCCAAAGCUAGUUCGAGGGUCUUGUAAAGGGUUUGACUUGGCAUCUGGACUGCUAUAUCCUUCAAUUUUAGCUUGUAAAGAUCCACAUUGACCAUCUUCCAGUAGCUCAAAGACAAUAGUGCCAGGCUAAUUGUGAUAUUUCCAUCACCACAUACCUCAACUAAUUUUUUUCACCGUAAGGUGUCAAUUUAGAUUCUUUAUCCACUUCUUCACCUUGAAAUCCAU